GUCACUUUGGCGGAGUGGUUAACGCGUUGCCCUGCUACUUAACACCUAGCAAGCCAGGCAAUUCUUUCGAGAGCACAGGUUCGAAUCCUGUAGGUGACG